rnacentral:lncRNA from 1 species
ACAGAAAUCACAUAAACAACAACAAUUUUCCUUUGAUUCACAUAUUUCGAAUUUCAACAGAAACAACACUAAUCAUCAUCAUCGAUUCCAACACACAAAUCCAACUCAAACCGAACCGGAUCUAAGCAAAACGAACCGAACCGGAGCAAAAGGAAAGCAGAUCGGACUAGAUUCGAACUGGAUCGGAGGAAUUUAGCAAGAAGGAAGUGAAUCCGAGCUUAAAGUAGUAGAUCCGGUCUUCUCCGUUUUGAAACCGAAGGUAAUUUCACUCAAACUUUCUUUGCUAGAUCUAGCUCAAAUCUCUCUACCCUUUUUAAAACUAACACCGGAUUUGUAUAGAGGAGAAGGAGAAGAAGCUUUUGAUGUAAAAAAAUUUCAAAAAAAAAUAAAAAAAAGCUCCGACGCGGCGGCGCUAUGGCUGACCACCGCGCCGAAGCAGCUCCGACCACCCCUCCUCAUCUUCUCCGGUGACGUUUUUUUAGAGAGAAGGGAGAGCUUCUCUCUCUAAGUUUAACUUAGAGAGAGAAGGUUUGUUUGAUUUAUGUUGUUUUUUUUUGUGAAACCACUUUAUAUAGCCUCAUCAUUUUAUUUUAAUUCCAUGUGUGUUGUUCCAUCGUAUUAUCGUGUAUGAUUAUAGCUAGGCCGUCAGAUCGUAGAUCUAACGGCCGAUGAUGCAUCUCGUAUGUGGUUGAGUGUUUGUUUCUUUUGUGUGGAAUACUGCGUGCCUGCUGUUGAACCGUCAGAUCAUUGAUCUGACGGUCACUGUGCUUCCAGUAUAUCCUUCCUUUUUUCUGUUUAUUUUUAAAACCGUUGGAUCUUAGAU